UUUAUUAGUGCAUGUGGUAGACCUCUACAAGAAAUUGUAAUUUAUAGCUAAUCUAGUGAGCAUUGUUUGUCUCACUGAAUAGACAGUUAAUCAGUAACUAGAUCUAGCUGCUAAAAUGAGACACAGAAUUGCUACUCUGAUCCUGACAAUAAUCGCGAUCACAUUUGUUCACAAGAAAGCAUCCUGCAGUACUCAAAUCACAGAUGUGACCCCAUCAAGUGCUGGCAAUAGAUUUGUGGUCGGUUUCCCCAUAAAUUUUGCUGAAGCAGAACAGUUGUUCUUAUCCAUCACAAACCCAGAGUCAAGUGCUGUUAGCUUCACAGUCACUCCAAUUGAUUUUAGCGGUAGUGUUUCAGCAUCUUCUGCUACUGUAAACAUCCCAUCCAGUUUUGAAGUUGUAUCUAUUAAUGAAAGGGACAAGGGGAUCCUUGUUGAAGCUAACGGAAACAUCAAUGUGUAUGGGCUGUCUUAUGAUUCAGGUUCUGCAGAUGCCUAUUUAGCAUUACCAUGUACUGUAAUGGCAGUGGAUGAAUACGAAUAUUAUGGAAUCUCCUAUGGAACCUUUUGUAGUAUUAUUUUGGUGGUGGCUUGUGAAAAUGAAACUGUUAUCAAAUUCAAUUCCUCAACAAUAACACUCAAUAGUAUGGAAACCUAUCAGAUGGAAAGUAGUGAUAAUGAUCUCACAGGAACAAGAAUAACAAGCUCCAAACCUUUGUCUGUAUUUAGCGGACAUGAUUGUGCUAAUAUUCCUCAAGGUAACGAAGCUUGUGAUCACCUGGUUGAACAAGUGCCUCCGACUGUGACAUGGGGCUCAAAAUUCUUCGUAGCAUCUCUUGAGGGUAGAUCUUCUGGUGAACGUAUUCGUGUUCUUAGUGCCCGAGCAGCAAGUGUAGCUGUGAAUUGCAACACUAAUGUAUCAGUCAGUGAAUUCCAGUUACAGAGUGGAGGGAGCUACCGAGAAUUUGAAAUACUUAUUAACAGUUUCUGUAGCAUUGAAUCCACUUCACCAGUACUGGUCGCACAGUAUGCAUAUGGUGGUGAGAGUGAUGGCGUGGGAGACCCAUUCAUGAUGAUAAUCCCUCCAAUUGAGCAGUUUACAAAUAACUAUUUAGUCGAGAGUUUCACUAAUUUCAUAUCCAACCAUGUCACGGUGUAUGUUUCUUCUGAGUUUUUUCAAACUGCACAAAUAUUUUUAGACAAUUCCAUUGUUACUGACUGGAGGAAUGUUGUCUGUGCAAGUGGAGAGAUUUGUGGCCAUAUAAGUAGAACAAAUGUGUCUACUGGAGCUCAUUCUGUCCGCCAUCAAAACAGCUCAGCUGUUCUAGGUGUUUCAGUGUAUGGAUUCGGUAUAGACAAUUCUUAUGGCUACCCUGGAGGGAUGAGAUUAUCUCCCAUACAUUGCAACUGUGGUCAAAAUUCUAUUUGUUUGAAUAACAUGGGACAGUUUAACUGUAGCUGUUUGAUUGGAUUUGGUGCUAAAUGGACUGGAACUGAUGGAUUCACCUGUAAUGCCAUAACUUGUCCUCUCUCAACUGCUCCCACCAAUGGCUCCGUGACAUACAGUGCCACUGCUGAUGAAAACGACACCUAUGCCUUUGAUGUGGUAGUUACUUACAGCUGUUUCGUGGGAUUUUCUCUUGUCGGGGACAAUACAAGAACUUGCACUGGAGAUGGCAGUAGCACUACUGGUGCAUUUAGUGGAAUUGAUCCAACUUGUGAACCCGUAACCUGUUCUCCUUUGAUGAGCCCAACCAAUGGCACUGUGUCUUAUGGCGGAGUUGCUACUGAUGUAAAUGGCAACUUUACGUUCAAUGUAACGGCUACUUACAGUUGUGACACUGGGUUUGCUCUGGUUGAUAACAGCUCAAGGAUUUGCACCGGAGACGGGAUGAGUGUCAAUGGUGGCUUUAAUGGAACAGCUCCAACUUGUGACCCUAUAACCUGCCCUGCUGUGGCAGCGCCAAGUAGUGGCAGCGUUGAAUUUGGUGGAGCCUCAUCUGAUGGAAACAGCAACUAUGCCUUUGAUGUGGUAGCUAAUUACAAUUGUGAUAAUGGAUUUUCUCUGGUUGGUAAUAGCUCGAAGACGUGUACUGGAGAUGGCAGUAGCACUACUGGUGCUUUUGAUGGAGCAGCUCCAACUUGUGAACCUAUAACCUGCCCUGGUGUUCCCAUACCAAACAACGGUACUAUUGACUUUGGUGGCGCCUCACGUGAGGAAAAUGGCACCUAUAUUUUUGCUGUGGUGGCUACCUACAGUUGUGACACUGGGUUUUCUCUUGUCGGGGAUAGCACAAGAACUUGCACCGGAGAUGGCAGUAGCACUACUGGUGUUUUUGAUGGUAUAGCUCCAAUAUGUGCAGCUAUAACAUGCCCACCACUUUCCAACCUAAUCAAUGGCUCUCUGUCUUAUUCGAAUGUGCCUGGUCAAGGCAACAGCCAUGCUUUCAAUGCCGAGGCUACCUACAGUUGUGAUACUGGAUUUUCACUAGUUGAUAACAGCACAAGGACUUGCACUGGAGAUGGAAGUAGCACUAAUGGUUCUUUUGAUGGAGAAGCACCAACUUGUGAAGUCAUUACCUGCUCUCCUCUGAGCGAUCCUUCCAAUGGCACUGUGGCUUACAACGUUGAGAGUUUAGAGUUUGGAUCGCAAGCUAUCUACAAUUGUAUCACUGGGUUUUUUCUAGUUGGUAAUACGAUCAGGACUUGUACUGGAGACGGCAGUAACACUACUGGUUAUUUUGAUGGAGAAGCACCAACUUGUGAAGUCAUAACUUGCCCUCCGCUGAACGAUCCUUCCAAUGGCUCUGUGACUUACAAUGUUGAUUUAGAGUUUGGAUCACAAGCUAUCUACAAUUGUAACACUAGAUUUUUUCUAGUUGGUAAUACGACCAGGACUUGUACUGGAGACGGCAGUAACACUACCGGUUAUUUUGAUGGAGAAGCACCAACUUGUGAAGAUGUGACUCUAUCAAGUUCUGGCAACACAUAUGUAGUCGGUUUCCCCAGAAAUGUUGCUGAAGCAGAACAGUUGUUCUUAUUCAUCACAAAUCCAGAGUCAAGUGCUGUUAGUUUCAUAGUCACUCCAAUCAAUUUUAGCGGUAGCGUUUCGACAUCUUCAACUACUGUAAACAUCCCAUCAAGUUUUGAAGUUGUAUCUAUUAAUGAAAGGGACAAGGGGAUCCUUGUUGAAGCUAAUGGAAACAUCAAUGUGUAUGGGCUGUCUUCUGCUUCAGGUUCUGCAGAUGCCUAUUUAGCAUUACCAUGUACUGUAAUGGCAGUGGAUGAAUACGAAUAUUAUGGAAUCUCGUAUGAUAUACGUGGUAGUAGCUUUCCUAGCGUGAUAUUGUUGGUGGCUUGUGAAAAUGAAACUGUUGUCAAAUUCAAUCCUUCAACAAUAAUAACACUCAAUAGUUUGGAAACGUAUCAGCUUGAAAGUAGUACUCAGGAUCUCACAGGAACAAGAAUAACAAGCUCCAAACCUUUGUCUGUGUUUAGUGGAUCUGAUUGUGCUAAUGUUCCUCAAGAUAUAAACUACUGUGACCACCUGGGUGAACAAGUGCCUCCGACUGUGACAUGGGGCUCAAAAUUCCUCGUAGCAUCUCUUGAGGGUAGAUCUUCUGGUGAACGUAUUCGUGUUCUUAGUGCCCGAGCAGCAAGUGUAGCUGUGAAUUGCAACACUAACGUAUCAGUCAGUGAAUUCCAGUUACAGAGUGGAGGGAGCUACCGAGAAUUUGAAAUACUUAUUAACAGUUUCUGUAGCAUUGAAUCCACUUCACCAGUACUGGUCGCACAGUAUGCAUAUGGUAGUACGAGUGAUGGCGUGGGAGACCCGUUCAUGAUGAUAAUCCCUCCAAUUGAGCAGUUUACAAAUAAUUAUUUAGUCGAGAGUUUAACUAAUUUCAUAUCCAACCAUGUCACGGUGUAUGUUUCUUCUGAGUUUUUUCAAACUGCACAAAUAUUUUUAGACAAUUCCAUUGUUACUGACUGGAGGAAUGUUGUCUGUGCAAGUGGAGAGAUUUGUGGCCAUAUAAGUAGAACAAAUGUGUCUACUGGAGCUCAUUCUGUCAGCCAUCAAAACAGCUCAGCUGUUCUAGGUGUUUCAGUGUAUGGAUUCGGUAUAGACAACUCUUAUGGCUACCCAGGAGGGAUGAGAUUAUCUCCCAUACAUUGCAACUGUGGUCAAAAUUCUAUUUGUUUGAAUAACAUGGGACAGUUUAACUGUAGCUGCUUGAUUGGAUUUGGUGCUAAAUGGACUGGAACUGAUGAAUUCACCUGUAAUGCCAUAACUUGUCCUCUCUCAACUGCUCCCACCAAUGGCUCCGUGACAUACAGUGCCACUGCUGAUGAAAACGACACCUAUGCCUUUGAUGUGGUAGUUACUUACAGCUGUUUCGUUGGAUUUUCUCUUGUCGGGGACAAUACAAGAACUUGCACUGGAGAUGGCAGUAGCACUACUGGUGCAUUUAGUGGAAUUGAUCCAACUUGUGAACCCGUAACCUGUUCUCCUUUGAUGAGCCCAACCAAUGGCACUGUGUCUUAUGGCGGAGUUGCUACUGAUGUAAAUGGCAACUUUACGUUCAAUGUAACGGCUACUUACAGUUGUGACACUGGGUUUGCUCUGGUUGAUAACAGCUCAAGGAUUUGCACCGGAGAUGGGAUGAGUGUCCACGGUAGUUUUAAUGGAACAGCUCCAACUUGUGACCCUAUAACCUGCCCUGCUGUGGCAGCGCCUAGUAGUGGAUUUUUUAGUAGUGGAGCCUCAUCUGAUGGAAACAGCAACUAUGCUUUUAAUGUGGUAGUUAAUUACAAUUGUAUUAAUGGAUUUUCUCUGGUUGGUAAUAGCUCGAGGAUGUGUACUGGAGAUGGCAGUAGCACUACUGGUGCUUUUGAUGGAGCAACUCCAACUUGUGAACCUAUAACUUGCCCUGGUGUUCCCACACCAAACAACGGCAAUAUUGACUUUGGUGGAGCCUCACUUGAUGAAAAUGGCACAUAUAUUUUUGCUGUGGUGGCUACCUACAGUUGUGACACUGGGUUUUAUCUGGUUGGUAACGACUCACGGACUUGCACUGGAGAUGGCAGCAGUAUUAUUGGUACUUUUGAUGGGUCGGCUUCAAUUUGUCAGCUUAUCACCUGCCCUCCGUUGACUAUUCCUUCUAAUGGUGCUGUGACAUACAAUUCUACUGCUGAUGAAAACGGCAACUAUGAUUUUUCUGUGAUGGCUACCUACAAUUGUGACACUGGCUUUUUUCUGGUUGGUGACAACUCAACAACUUGCACUGGAAACGGCAGUAGCAUUACUGGUGCCUUCAAUGGCCUAGUUCCAAUCUGUGAAGCUAUAACAUGCCCACCACUUUCCAAUCCAACCAACGGCUCUCUGUCUUAUUCAAAUGUGCCUGAUCAAAACAACAGCUAUGCUUUCAAUGUAAUGGCUACCUACAGCUGCAACUCUGGGUUUUCUCUGGUUGGUAACAAGACAAGGAAUUGCUCUGGAGAUGGCAGUAGUACUAUUGGUUCAUUUGAUGUGUCUGCUCCAACUUGCAAAGCAAUAACAUGUUCUCCUAUUGCCGACCCAAUUAAUGGGACUGUAAUCUAUUCUACUGAGGCUGAUGGUUUGGGAAAUUAUGUCUUCAAUGUGACGGCUAAUCAUAGUUGUGACACUGAGUUUACUCUGGUUGGUAACAACCCAAGGACUUGCAGUGGAGAUGGAAGUAGCAUUACCGGUGCAUUUGAUGGAGAGGAUCUGAAAUGUGAAGUUUUAGUUGCCUCUUCUGCAUCACUUAUCCGAGAUGUUGUCAUACCUGUUGUGAGUGUGGUGGCUGUACUAGCUCUAGUUGUACUGGGUGGAGCUGUCUAUGGAUAUAUUCAAGUGAUAAGUCAUCUGUUGAAGUUAAAAAAGCCUGAAACUGGGACUGCUAAACUACUGUAAUCUUUAACAGUCUGUGCAAAACUAAUAAUUAUCACUGUCAACAGUACGUCAUUUAUAUUUAAGUAGAUAGAGGUCUUUGGGUAUGAAACACUAACUUAUCGUUUAAUUUGUGAUUCUAUAAUGCUCUAUACCAAUGAGCUCAAUUUUAUGUUGGUUUCGAUCGAAUAAAAUUUGUUUUUCAUAUACGUCUUGUCCACGUCCACUGACAAUACUAUAAGCAUAGAUAGUGUAGUAAGAGGGAUUGGAAACGGGAUCACGUGGGCUUAUCAAUGCAAUGUAAUGAACUUGGGGCCUUGCGGACAAUCCAGGCUGCGCGUAACGCAGCUAUAAGCGCUAAAUCACGCCCGUCCAGAGAUACAAAGACAAGGUUUUCUCCUGUUCUAGGACAAAGGGUUGGAGAAUGAAUACCUGGACAACUGGGAUACUGGGAAAAAUCUGUUUCUAGCCGUAAGGAGCUUAAGAUGCUGUAGUGAUGCCACAAGGACUGAAGUUUACAGUCAGUCAAAUCAUUCAUUGACAUGGUAGGGGACCUGUUCAUCCUCCCUGACGCAAGUGCCUUUCUGAGUGAGCGAAUCGGCUAGAACCCUCUCGAAAUGUUUAACUACAUUUCUAUUUGAUGCACAUAAUUAUUUUUUUAUGUGUGAUCAAACAACCAUAAUUAUAAUUAUGAAUCG